rnacentral:rRNA from 1 species
CUCGUAGGCGGCCAACUAAGUCAGACGUGAAAUCCCUCGGCUUAACCGGGGAACUGCGUCUGAUACUGGAUGGCUUGAGGUUGGGAGAGGGAUGCGGAAUUCCAGGUGUAGCGGUGAAAUGCGUAGAUAUCUGGAGGAACACCGGUGGCGAAGGCGGCAUCCUGGACCAAUUCUGACGCUGAGGAGCGAAAGUCAGGGAGCAAACG